UUUUCCCGUGCAGGAACCCGUCGCUGAAGCAGCAGCUCUUCUCCUACGCCAUCCUGGGCUUCGCGCUCUCCGAGGCCAUGGGGCUCUUCUGCCUCAUGGUGGCCUUCCUCAUCCUCUUCGCCAUGUGACCGCGGCGCCGCUGCUCCUCCACAUAAACCACGCGUUUCUCUACGGAAUUCUCUGUUUUGGGCUUUUUUAUCCGAGUUCUGCACCCCUGGGGGACGCUCGGGGCGGGGAAUCCCAGAUGUGAGGUGGGAACGGGAAUGGGAGGAGAGGAAAAUGAAGGUGGAGCCAAAUUUGUAAAAAAUUGCCCCAAAUCGGGGCCCUGGGAAGUAAGAGUUUGGGGUUGGGGGCUGGGGUGGAAUUCCCAAAGGAAACCAAGGAUUUCUCUGCGGAAUUCCCCGUUUUGGGGUUUUUAUCUGUGUUCUGCACCCCCUGGGGGAGAUUUGGGGUGGGAAAUCCCAGCUGCGGGGUGGGAAUGGGAAGGGGAACUCAAAUCUGCAGAAAUCCCCCCAAAUCUGGGCCCUGAGAAAGCAGAGCUCGGGGGCUGGGAUGGAAUUCCCGAAGGAAACCAAGGAUUUCUCUGCGGAA